rnacentral:misc_RNA from 1 species
CUUUGGCUGGGGAAUGGUUCGCAGGUGGUAAAGCUUUGGAUGUUUCAUCUGGUGGUGCAGCAACAGGAAUUCCGUCUCCUUUCCAGUCAAUGCUUGGGGAAGGAGUAGAUGCAUGAGACAUAUCAGGACCUGGUAAUGUAGUCUCCAGGCAUGAUAGGUUGAAUUUCUGGUGAACUUUGCGGCAAUUGUCCUAUUGGUGAUACAACUGGAACAGGUGACGCAAAUGGCAUUAUUGCUGGUGUAAU